ensembl:lncRNA
GUACAAAGUCCCAACUCGCCUGUCUGAUACUGGCAGGCGCAGCCGCAGGCCUGGGCAUGAGGUGGGCGGGUGGGUGGCGGUCUGCAGAACCCUGCACAGACAGGUGCUAACCAGGUAUGCACACCCCGCUGGCCAUGGGGCCUCUCCAGGCAGCCCCGGCCUUAGGAGCCUGGCCCAAGGACGAGGGACAGAGGGAUGGAGGCCUGAUGGGGAUCCAUGCACUUAGGAGGAGGAGUUGGGUAGGCAGCACCCUGCCAAGAUCUGAGGGAAGCUAAGGGUGAGAGGUGAGGCUUCCAGCUGGGGACACACAGGUGCAAAGGCCCUGAGGCAACACUGGGCAGAGAAGUAGGGGGCAGGGUAAUAGGAGAGGAAGUGGGGGAGUGGGCAGAUGUUAACCUUAGCUGUCCUCCAUUGCGGCGAGCAUGGCCACUGCCCUGAGCCUGGGAGACCCCCAGAGCCAAGCCCUAGCAGACAGGCUGGCCCCUCAAGUCUCCCUGAACUCUUUUUGUUGUUGUUGUUAUCGGGGAUCGAACUCGGGACCUCGCGCUUAUGAGGCAGGCGCCAGAACGACUGAGCUAAACUCCCGGCCCUCCCUGAACCCUUGAGCCAAGAGCACCCCAGGCCUCCACUUCCCUACUGGACAAUUGAACAGGCAAGAGGAAUCGGUGUAGAACAGAUGAAGCUGUGUUUCUGGACCCUUUGUUCCUAGCCCUGCCCCCGGCCUGGCACAGGCUGGAGAGACCAGUGAGGGGCGGCUCUUGCCGGGCCCAGCCCAGCCCCUCCGGGGCUCUGGCUGCCCCCCUUGCCCCACCCACUCUGUUGGAGCAGGGGGCUAAGGAAGCCGGGGACCUGGGUUUGGGCUCAGGGUGCCAGCUGCCCCCACCCACCAGCUGCUGCAGAUGUUGCCAGGAGGAUCCUCGGGGUCAUGGGCCUGGCAUCUGGCCCUGGCACCGUCCAGAGAGCCGUCCACCACCUUCAGGGGCAGUGCUGCCCGCAGGCUCGCAUCUCCAUGAGUAAUAUUUAACUUGGACAGGCUCUCGGACAACUGCAGGGGAGACGUUAACAACAAGUUGGGAUUGCAAGCCGCUUGCCAGGAGAGGAGGGAAGGGAGGCCGGGAGAGAGAGGGCGAAGUUGAGCGGAAGAAAGGAGGGCAGGAGGCAGUGUCGUCAGGGAGGACGGAGGGCUCCAAGGGGGCUGGCGGGGACCUUGGGGCCUUGGUUUGAGCUGGGGGCCCAGGCCUCCAAGAAGCCUGGGGCUGGAGCCGCACGCCCACGGUGCCCGGGGAACGGGAGCUCUCAGGCCAGCUGGCUGCAGAUACCACGAGACAUGUGGCUGAGGCCCUCAAGCCUCAGUUUCCUCUGCUGAAACUACCCUGGGUCAAGGAGGAGCCUUGGGAUUGAGCUCAGUGCAGAGAGUAACACACACGCGCACGCACGCACACACACACACAGCACAUGCUUGCACACACAGAGUCACAGAGUUGUUAGCAAGGCAGCCCCGCCUAGAGCUCUGAGGCCUCAACCCAAGGCUGGAAAAAUCCACGAGGCUGGAGCAAGGAUAGGUUUCCAGCCCAGCAGGGUGGGAGAGGGCAGGCUUGGAGCGCUGCGACAGGCCUGUCCCCAAACAGAGGUCACUACCACAAAGCCCCUGCCCUGGGCGGGGGCCGGUGUGCACAGCGUUGGCCACCACGGGCCUGGCCAGCGUGCCCUCGGCCACCACAGGGAAUGUGGCUACUAGGGUGGUGCCUGUGCAGGCCACGAGCCCCUGCAACACACAGUGCGUGAACUGGAGUCUGGGGGCCAGGGAGCAGAGCAGUGCCACACCGGCCAAGGGGAGGAGAGGGCUGGGCAGGGCUUAGGGGCCUCCCCCGGACUCCCGACGAUGGGCUCCCAGCCCUGGGGCCUCUUCCUGCUCAGAGAAGACAGACGAGGCUUCUGCCGUCUCCCAGCCUCUCCCCGCCCUGGAAGCCACCACACCAUACCCAGGAAGGCGGAGGGGCUCCUGGACCCGGCUGCCCCUGGCCUGGCUCUGUUCUGCCAGGCAAAGAGCUACACCCAGCCCCCACUGAGCGCCUCCACCCGGGAUGCCACAUGUUUAGCUCUCAAACUCCCCACACUUGUGCUUCCACAGAGCAAAUGCGAUCUCCCUGCCCGUGCAGCUUUUCCUGGUUUGCCCAGCGCCUGAGCUGGGGCUGAGAUGGGAGCCUAGCAGGAACCUGGGCCCAGGAGCCAUGGCGUGGGGCAGUGUCUUCAGCCCGGAGCCCCACUCUGCACCCCUGGAACCUCAGUGUCCCCCCAGUCAUGUCCCUUCAUGUCUAGGAUCUGAACUCCCCGGCUCCUGAGUACCUGGCACUUGCUACUGCUCGCCACGGUUAAACUGCCUCAGUUUCCACUUCCCAGCCAGGACCAGAAUCUCUGGGCUCCUGCAGCUUAGCAGGGCCAGGUCAGACGUGGUUCUCCCCGUGCCCAUGGGUCCCCGGGUUCCUGCAGGGAAACCACCCUCCCUGUUGCCCACAGAGGGGGCCUGGAAAGCUCCCCAGGGGGCGGCUCUGCCCCUCCCACUGCAGGACUGAGGGCCACCGCCUCCCACCUGCACCCGCCAGCCCGCCGGGGUACCCUCCCCACCCGAGGGCAUGGCCACGCUCCAGCCAGGCCGAGAGGAGGGAGCUCCCACUUCCCAGCCCCCUGCCAGGUAAGGCCCAGAAGGCUGGGCCCCCCCCAGAGACCUGGGAGCCGCCCGGGAGAGAGGCCCCGGACAGGGACUUGAAACGGGGUCGGGGGGACAAAGUGAGCUGCCUCUGCUCGGAAAUACGCUGGAUUCCCGAGACCCAGGCAGAGAAUGCGCACGAGCGCGCCCGAGAUUCGCGUGUGGGCUGAUUCCAUGUUGCACCACGUUCCGCAGCACACGGUCAUUAACGUUAACUUCACCUACUUGCUUUUAGCCCUCCACAGGCGGCCACUCACAUCUGGCCUGACUUAAGUGCGCUUUCCGCUUGUUCCGGGCAGGGGCCCUGAGAAGACCCCGCACGCGGAACGUGCCAGGCUCAGCUCGCAGGACCUGAGGAAAUCCGAGCCGCUAGGUUGCGGGGCGCGGGCCCAAGCCAGCCGCUGCGGGAGGGCAGGCGGGACGAGGCCUGCACCCACGAGGAUGGGGGG